GUCUGAAACAAAGGAGUGGUGGUUUAUGCCAGUGAUAACUGCCAAAGUCCCCAUUCCGAGCAAUGAUGAGGCUUUGAAACGUUUUUGUGCUUUAUCACCAGUAUACGGUUUUCACUAAUAUAAUAUAACUUGAAUGGCUUCAGAUUUUCAUGAUGCCAACAGAAGUGAAAACCUGCUCUGUUCACGUGGCUUUUAAAACCUGAACUUCCAGAACUGGGUUAAUCAAGAACGUUUUAACUUCAAGGAAAGAUAAGUAUGUCCUACCGAGUGCUAGAACAUCAAGUGUGCUGUGUAGGAAACUUACUCUGCUGGGACGCAAUCAAAUAAAUAGCAGAUAUAAUGAAUGCCCGAAGUCAUGUUGGACUUUCUUCUCCCUGAGGUGGCAAUAAACACUACAGACGUGACCUCUGAGAUUCAUAUUAGUGACUGGAGAAGUUCAUGUCAAGCACAAUUACCUCACAGUAACAAAUCAGUCCUGGAAAACUGUUCCAUGGAUACAGACUAGUUCUGUGACCACCUAACUUCCUUUUCUGGACUGAAAACUCUUAUAAUUCACAUACUUCAAGGCCUCCAGUAUCUCUAGAUCCUGAAGACGAAGAGGUUAAAAGGUCAGAGAAACUUUAAGCAGUCCCUUCUAUCUCCAUAGGAGAUCAGACUUGAGAAUGGCAGCAGCAGAAGAUGGACGACAGACUGGAUUGCUGAACUCUGAAAUGUAUGAAGGACUUUUCUCGUUUUGAAACGUGAGCAAUGAGGAUUUCUUUCUCCUGCUUUAAUAUUCUGAGUAAAGUCAACUAGACCCUUAAGGUCCUCCGUUUCGUCCACCUUGAUCACAGUGCUUGAAGGUGGACCGUGAGAGAACAAAUGUAAGAAAAGACAAUGGGUCCCAGGUAAAUUGAAACAGAUUUUUGCAAUUCUGAAAGCAGAAUGGCUUUUCACAGGUGAUUGUGAUUUGGUUUGCCAACAGGAGUAACAAGGUUUGCCUCCUAAAACAUUAAAUGCACUUAAACCUAUUGGUUUUCUGUGGUCAACUAAACUAUCUCACCUAAAACCCUCUUUGUAUAUAAAAAUCCAACAAAGUCCUGGGAAUGUGCAGUAUUAGAAAUUAAAUCUAGCAAGAAAAUACAGACUUACUUAAAAGUUUGACAGUUGUUGAUGACUGCAAUCAUGUAUUGAACAUAGCAUUGAGGAUACUGGCGAUUUUUAAGAUGUUCUUCUUUGUAAAACUGUGCUUCAUCUUUGUAUCUGUAACACGUACAAAGAAUAACAUUAAACAGACACAAAAUCUAUAAUAACUACACACCAUAGAAUCAAAUGCUCCAUAAGGACUUGACAUUUAUCUACAAGUAUUUUCAAGGGCUUGGUGCUCAUGUGAUGCUUCAUCUCUCUGUUUCUCUCUUCAUUACGGGAAAGGAUUACCAGUUUGAAAUAUCAAAGAAAGAGGAACUGACUCCAAAAACUCGAGUCAAAGAGGAACACAUACUGCCACGCACAACACAAAACUCCUCUGGUGAAGGAAGGAAGAAAAGAAAAAGAAAGAAAAGCUUGGUUGGCACAAAGAGACAAAGAAAUAAAGAAACACCCACAGGAAAACCAAGCAAUGAAGACAACUGGAGGCAAGACGAAGUCAAGAAUUCAAAAAUUGCUUUACCUGGUUAGAAAUGAAUUCAUUUGUUGAAGACAUAGAAGGAGUACCUUUGUUUUCAAAUCUUCGCUUAUCUGAGCAGCUACCUGAAGAUUCUGCUCAAACAUCU